UUAUGGCUCAGGACGAACGCUGGCGGCGUGCCUAACACAUGCAAGUCGAGCGAGGAGAUCCUUCGGGAUGAUCCUAGCGGCGGACGGGUGAGUAACACGUGGGCAACCUGCCUCAUAGAGAGGAAUAGCCUUCCGAAAGGGAGAUUAAUACCUCAUAACAUUGCAGUUUCGCAUGAAACAGCAAUUAAAGGAGCAAUCCGCUAUGAGAUGGGCCCGCGGCGCAUUAGCUAGUUGGUGAGGUAACGGCUCACCAAGGCGACGAUGCGUAGCCGACCCGAGAGGGUGAUCGGCCACAUUGGGACUGAGACACGGCCCAGACUCCUACGGGAGGCAGCAGUGGGGAAUAUUGCACAAUGGGGGAAACCCUGAUGCCAGCAACGCCGCGUGAGUGAUGACGGCCUUCGGGUUGUAAAGCUCUGUCUUCAGGGACGAUAAUGACGGUACCUGAGGAGGAAGCCACGGCUAACUACGUGCCAGCCGCCGC
rnacentral:rRNA from 1 species